rnacentral:rRNA from 1 species
AAAUUGAAGAGUUUGAUCAUGGCUCAGAUUGAACGCUGGCGGCAGGCCUAACACAUGCAAGUCGAACGGUAACAGGAAGCAGCUUGCUGUUUCGCUGACGAGUGGCGGACGGGUGAGUAAUGUCUGGGAAACUGCCUGAUGGAGGGGGAUAACUACUGGAAACGGUGGCUAAUACCGCAUAACGUCGCAAGACCAAAGAGGGGGACCUUCGGGCCUCUUGCCAUCAGAUG